rnacentral:pre_miRNA from 1 species
ACAACAUUCGCGGACCGUCGCGUCGCGUCGAUCUACCGAGCAAUAAUACCCGCUCGUUGGAAGAUCUUCCCUUCGUCGU